rnacentral:snRNA from 1 species
AAGUACGAGGACAAUUUGAGGACAUGCCUCCUUAUGAAUCACGAAGGUGAGUGCGGCUGAUCUGGCUGGCUAGGCAAGGGUCCCCUUCCUAUUUCAGAAUUCAGAGUGCUUACUGCUUCCUGCUCUAGACCUCCUAGAGAGAAGGAGGACCAUUCUUUAGCCCAGGGCAUGCAAGUAAAUGCAUUCCCCCAAUAGAAUCUCCAAACAAAUUCUCAGAAGCAGCCUCAAGGGGAGGUUCAGGAAAGAGAGAAGAACCCACCGGGGGCUAUGUUGGGACCUCCACUCAU